AGUUUGAAGUUGUAGACCCGAAACCGUGUGAUCUAUCCAUGGGCAGAGUGAAGUGUUGGUAAAACGACAUGGAGGCUCGAACCGGGUAACGUUUAAAAGUUAUCGGAUGACCUGUGGAUAGGGGUGAAAAGCCAAUCGAACACGGAGAUAGCUGGUUCUCCUCGAAAUAGCUUUAGGGCUAGCCUGUAGGAAAAACUGUUUGGGGGGUAGAGCACUGAAUCGCCAAGGGACAUGUGAUGUUACCGCGGCCUAUCAAACUCCGAAUACCCAAACAAAGCCUAUGGAGUCAGACAGUGAGGGAUGAGCUUCAUUGUCGAAAGGGAAAGAGCCCAGACCACCGACUAAGGUCCCAAAAUACUAUUUAAGUGGGAAAGGAUGUGGAGUUACUCAGACAACUAGGAUGUUGGCUUAGAAGCAGCCAUCCAUUGAAAGAGUGCGUAAUAGCUCACUAGUCAAGUGACUCUGCGCCGAAGAUAACCGGGGCUAAAAUAGAUACCGAAGUCGUGGAACGAAUAACGUUGGUAGAGGAGCAUUGUAUAGACAACGAAGCAAAAGGCGUAAGCCAUUGUGGAGCCUAUACAAGAGAGAAUGCUGGCAUGAGUAGCGAGAGGUGAGUGAGAAUCUCACCCGUCGAAAACCCAAGGAUUCCUGAGGAAGGCUCGUCCACUCAGGGUAAGUCGGGACCUAAGGCGAGGCUGAAAAGCGUAGUCGAUGGACAACAGGUGGAAAUUCCUGUACCGAUGGUAUUGCUGAUGAUGGAGUGACGCAGGAGGGGAAAUAGAGCGCCCAGUUGGUGAGGCGUGCAAGCACAAAGGCAAGAAGAUAGGCAAAUCCGUCUUCUGAAGAUGCUGAAGUGUGAUGCGGAUUGAAAACAAGUAGAGAAGUCUAAACGAACCAAACUGCCAAGAAAAGCUUCUAAGAGAUACCAUUGCCCGUACCGCAAACCGACACAGGUAGGUGAGGAGAGAAUCCUAAGACGAGCGGAAGAACCUUUGUUAAGGAACUCGGCAAAAUGACCCCGUAACUUCGGGAGAAGGGGAGCCCCUGUAAAAGGGGGCCGCAGUGAAAAGGCCCAAGCGACUGUUUACCAAAAACACAAGUAUCUGCGAAGUCGAAAGACGAAGUAUAGGUGCUGACACCUGCCCGGUGCUGGAAGGUUAAGGGGACGAGUUAGCGCAAGCGAAGCUCCGAGCUGAAGCCCCAGUAAACGGCGGCCGUAACUAUAACGGUCCUAAGGUAGCGAAAUUCCUUGUCGGGUAAGUUCCGACCCGCACGAAAGGUGUAACGAUUUGGGCACUGUCUCAACAAAGGAUCCGGUGAAAUUGUAGUAGCGGUAAAGAUGCCGCUUACCCACGACAGGACGGAAAGACCCCGUGGAGCUUUACUGUAGGUUGACAUUGGAUUUUGGGAUAAACUGUACAGGAUAGGUGGGAGGCAGAGAACCAUGUACGCCAGUAUAUGGGGAGCCAAUGGUGGGAUACCACUCUUUUUAUCUUAGAAUUCUAACCGACUUCCGUGAAACCGGAAGCGGGACACUGUCAGUCGGGCAGUUUGACUGGGGCGGUCGCCUCCGAAAGAGUAACGGAGGCGUUCAAAGGUUCCCUCAGCACGGACGGAAAUCGUGCGAAGAGUGCAAAGGCAGAAGGGAGCUUAACUGCGAGAGCGACAACUCGAGCAGAUGCGAAAGCAGGACUUAGUGAUCCGGUGGUACCGCGUGGAAGGGCCAUCGCUCAACGGAUAAAAGCUACCCCGGGGAUAACAGGCUUAUCUCCCCCAAGAGUCCACAUCGACGGGGAGGUUUGGCACCUCGAUGUCGGCUCGUCUCAUCCUGGGGCUGAAGUAGGUCCCAAGGGUUGGGCUGUUCGCCCAUUAAAGAGGCACGCGAGCUGGGUUCAGAACGUCGCGAGACAGUUCGGUCCCUAUCCGUCGUGGGCGCAGGAAAUUUGAGAGGAGCUAUCCUUAGUACGAGAGGACCGGGAUGGACAAACCACUGGUGCAUCAGUUGUACUGCCAAGUGCACAGCUGAGUAGCUACGUUUGGACUGGAUAAGAGCUGAAGGCAUCUAAGCACGAAGCCAACCUCGAGAUAAGAUUUCCCAUCGAAAGAAUAAGGCCCCUUGAAGAAAAUGAGGUAGAUAGGCUUCAGGUGGAAGCACAGCAAUGUGUGGAGCUAAGAAGUACUAAUCGGCCGAAGACUUGACCAA
rnacentral:rRNA from 1 species